ACUGAACGCUGGCGGCAUGCCUUACACAUGCAAGUCGAACGGUAACAGGUCUUCGGAUGCUGACGAGUGGCGAACGGGUGAGUAAUACAUCGGAACGUGCCUAGUAGUGGGGGAUAACUACUCGAAAGAGUGGCUAAUACCGCAUGAGAUCUACGGAUGAAAGCAGGGGAUCGCAAGACCUUGUGCUACUAGAGCGGCCGAUGGCAGAUUAGGUAGUUGGUGGGAUAAAAGCUUACCAAGCCGACGAUCUGUAGCUGGUCUGAGAGGACGAUCAGCCACACUGGGACUGAGACACGGCCCAGACUCCUACGGGAGGCGGCAGUGGGGAAUUUUGGACAAUGGGCGAAAGCCUGAUCCAGCAAUGCCGCGUGUAGGAUGAAGGCCUUCGGGUUGUAAACUGCUUUUGUACGGAACGAAAAGCCCCGGGUUAAUACCCUGGGGUCAUGACGGUACCGUAAGAAUAAGCACCGGCUAACUACGUGCCAGCCGCCGCCGUAA
rnacentral:rRNA from 1 species